UGGGGAAUAUUGCACAAUGGGCGCAAGCCUGAUGCAGCCAUGCCGCGUGUAUGAAGAAGGCCUUCGGGUUGUAAAGUACUUUCAGCGAGGAGGAAGGCAUUGCGGCUAAUAACCGCAGUGAUUGACGUUACUCGCAGAAGAAGCACCGGCUAACUCCGUGCCAGCAGCCGCGGUAAUACGGAGGGUGCAAGCGUUAAUCGGAAUUACUGGGCGUAAAGCGCACGCAGGCGGUCUGUUAAGUCAGAUGUGAAAUCCCCGGGCUCAACCUGGGAACUGCAUUUGAAACUGGCAGGCUUGAGUCUUGUAGAGGGGGGUAGAAUUCCAGGUGUAGCGGUGAAAUGCGUAGAGAUCUGGAGGAAUACCGGUGGCGAAGGCGGCCCCCUGGACAAAGACUGACGCU
rnacentral:rRNA from 1 species